GCACAAGCGGUGGAGCAUGUGGUUUAAUUCGACGCAACGCGCAGAACCUUACCAGGGUUUGACAUCCUGUGCUCACCGGUGAAAGCCGGUUUCCCCGCAAGGGGCGCAGAGACAGGUGCUGCAUGGCUGUCGUCAGCUCGUGUCGUGAGAUGUUGGGUUAAGUCCCGCAACGAGCGCAACCCUCGCCUUUAGUUGCCAUCAUUAAGUUGGGCACUCUAGAGGGACCGCCGGCGACAAGCCGGAGGAAGGUGGGGAUGACGUCAAGUCCUCAUGGCCCCUACACCCUGGGCUACACACGUGCUACAAUGGCGGUGACAGUGAGCAGCUAGUCCGCGAGGACAUGCUAAUCUCUAAAAACCGUCCCAGUUCAGAUUGCACUCUGCAACUCGAGUGCAUGAAGGUGGAAUCGCUAGUAAUCGCAGAACAGCAGGCUGCGGUGAAUACGUUCCCGGGC
rnacentral:rRNA from 1 species